AAAAGCAUGUUCGGCGAGUUC
rnacentral:miRNA from 1 species